CGAUUUAGUCAUAUGCUUGUCUCAAAGAUUAAGCCAUGCAUGUCUAAGUAUAAGCAAUUGUACUGCGAAACUGCGAAUGGCUCAUUAAAUCAGUUAUCGUUUAUUUGAUAGUGCCUAUCCUACUUGGAUAACCGUGGUAAUUCUAGAGCUAAUACAUGCUAAAAAUCCCGACUUCGGAAGGGAUGCAUUUAUUGGAUACAGAACCAACGCCCUUCGGGGCUUUCUGGUGAAUCACAAUAACUUCGCGGAUCGCACGGCCUUGUGCCGGCGAUGGUUCAUUCAAAUUUCUGCCCUAUCAACUUUCGACGGCUGGGUCUUGGCCAGCCGUGGUGACAACGGGUAACGGAGGGUUAGGGCUCGACCCCGGAGAAGGAGCCUGAGAGACGGCUACUACAUCCAAGGAAGGCAGCAGGCGCGCAAAUUACCCAAUCCCGACUCGGGGAGGUAGUGACAAUAAAUACUGAUCCAGGGCUCUUUUGGGUCUUGGAAUUGGAAUGAGUACAAUUUAAAUCCCUUAACGAGGAACAAUUGGAGGGCAAGUCUGGUA
rnacentral:rRNA from 1 species